UCUGAGCCUGCCCACAUGGCUGGCAGAGCUCCUGAGUUUUAGUUUGGCUGCAGGCACCGACUUUGGGAUGACCAUAGCAUUACUAAGAGAUUCCCUCACCCUCCUCUCCUCCUCCUCACACUCCCAUGGGAUGGAGUGCCCUGCCAGAAUUGUGGGCUGGAGAGCACAGGGAAGGGCACAGCACCGGCUGUGGGGCUCCCAUUUUAUGUAUACAUGGAAGUGUUCGAGUGGAUCUUAAGUUAUCCAUACAAGCAAAAUUAAGGGUGAAAUGGAGCAGAUCUCAUCUCUCUGCUGGAAGUGACAAAAGCUGGCCACAUUCUAUAAUCAUAGAUUAUGGGGGGUUGUACACCAUCUUGAAGUUAAAGCAUUCCCCAAGAGGACUUCAGGUAAGCUUGCUUUUGUAACUGAGAUGCUUGUUUGGUAAAAGCCCUGCUCUUAAUAAACAGAAAAUCCCACAUGACAAAGCACUGACUACAUGAAAAUCUGACAGAUGUGCCUUUUUGAAAGGCUUGCAAAGGGAAAUUGUGCAGCAACAGUUUUACAGUGAAAGAAACAAUUGAUGUCAGAUGCUGCAAGCUGUGGGGACUUAAAGAAUUCUCACAUCCCAGCUGUGCCACAUCAGCAGCUGCACCUGCACUCCCAGCAGUGGGGAGGACCCAGGGAUGGAGCAGCAGUGAGACACGGUCACACCCAGUGUCCCAUCCCAGCAGGCAGUGCCAGGACCCAGGGACAGCAUCCACUGCCAGGGCUGACUGUCCCCCAUCAGGAAUACAGCAUCUCUGCACCAGUCCAUGUCACAGACUUCUUUUAUGAAAAAUCCUUUCCUUAGGAUUUUUCCUCCUGAGAAGCUGAGAGGCCUCAGGAACAAAAUGCAAACAUUGAUUAUCUGCUGCUGUGGGAUGCAACAGGUGCAUCUGGGAUUGGUCUCAUCGUGUUGUUUUUAGUUAAUGGCCAAUCACAGUCAGCUGGCUCGGACUCUCUGUCUGAGACAGAAGCUUUUGUUAUCAUUCUUUUUUAUUCUUAGCUAGCCUUCUGAUGAAACCUUUUCUUCUAUUCUUUUAGUGUAAUUUUCAUGUAAUAUAUAUCAUAAAAUAAUAAAUCAAGCCUUCUGAAACAUGGAGUCAGAUCUUUGUCUCUUUCCUCAUCCAAGAGCCCCUGUGAACACUGUCACAAGUCCACCCAUCAGCAUACAUUCCAUCCCAGUUUUGCACAAGCAGAACACCCAAUUUCUACCCAAUUAGCCAUGGUUCAUGGAGUUUGUGGUGCCUCUGUGCAGGAGAACAGGCAAGCCAUGUUUCCAAGGGACACAGAGACAGGCAGCUCCUGAUGUGGCACAGAGCCUUCCAGGCAGACAAAAAUAUUCAACAAAUCUGAACCAGAAAAAAGUGAGUUUGCAUGGGUCAUUAGUGCCUUGCCUCACAGGGAUGGGAUGUCUUCUGAUGUGGUUCUCAGGAGCCUUGAAGCCACAGCCUGCAGCUCAGGGAAGGAGCAUGGCAAAGGACAGGAGGUGGCACAGGAUUCACCAUGUGACAAAGCAGCACGGCUGUCCUCGCUUCAUCCUGGAGGGCACAGCCUUGGAAUACAGGGAGGGGAGGACCACACACAUGAACAACCAAAUUUCAGCCCCUCCAACGUGCUUCCAGAAGAGCCUAAGAAACUUAAAACAGUGAAAAUAAUAUCAUUAAAAAAUACCCACAAGGUUGGAGAUCCCCAGAAUGGCAGGACAGUAAAACAUUUCUAAGCUGACCAAACCUCUGCAGUUAUGAUGGUUUCUGCAGGUGGCCAAAAGGACAAGAAUAAUCUGUUUCCCUUAACAGCCCCACCAGCCCAAGGACUCCUCCUCUGAAGGGACACUCAAGUGUGUGUGCUGAGGGAAGGGGCUUUGCCAGCUCUUGCCCUUUCAGGAGUAAAACAGGUGUCCUACAAGCACUGAGCCAGUGAUGGAAGAUGCAAGGACCCAACAGGUUUGUACCUCCCCAGUAGCCACCAUUUGUCAAGGAUGGGCACCCAGAGGAAAUGUUGUUGCAGACAUCUUUUUAUGAAAAUCCUUUCUUAGGAUUUUUUCCCUUCUGAGAAGCUGAGAGGCCUCAGAGACAAAAUGUGAACAUUGAUUACCUGCUGCUGUGGAAUGCAACAGGUACAUCUGUGAUUGGUCUCGUGUGGACGUUUGGAUUUAGUGACCAUUCACGGCAGAGCUGGCUCUCUCUCUCUGUCCGAGCCACAGACCUUUGCUUUCAUUCUUUUCCAUUCUAUUAUAUUCUUAGCUAGCCUUCUGAGAUGAAACUUUUCCUUCUAUUCUUUUUACUAUAGUUAUAAUGUAAUAUAUAUAUAAUAAAAUAAUAAAUCAAGCCUUCUGAA